rnacentral:rRNA from 1 species
GAGAUGUGUAGGUGCUGCAUGGUUGUCGUCAGCUCGUGCCGUGAGGUGUCGGCUUAAGUGCCAUAACGAGCGCAACCCUCAUCAUUAGUUACCAUCAGGUAAGGCUGGGGACGUCUAAUGAGACUGCCAUCGUAAGAUGUGAGGAAGGUGGGGAUGACGUCAAAUCAGCACGGCCCUUACGUCCGGGGCGACACACGUGUUACAAUGGGUGGCACAAAGGGCAGCUACCUGGCGACAGGAUGCUAAUCUCGAAAACCGCUCUCAGUUCGGAUCGGAGUCUGCAACUCGACUCCGUGAAGCUGGAUUCGCUAGUAAUCGCGCAUCAGCCACGGCGCGGUGAAUACGUUCCCGGGCCUU